rnacentral:lncRNA from 1 species
CAAGGUGCAGACUGCCUCUGGAGAGCGGGCGGCGAGAGGCUGGGGGCCCAGAUUCCUUCGCUUAUGCCAGUGAGAGCAGGUGCCAGCAGGGGAAGACACAAUUUGGAGUUGGCCUGAGAUCUGGGGGAGAAAAUCACCUCUGGCUUCUUGAAGGAACCCCCUCUCUCCAGUCAUGUUGGGCUGCCUGCUGCCAGGACUCUGCCUGCCAUGUCUUUUGGUGGCUAGAAGGGAUGUGCAUUCAGGCAGACUGCAGCAGGCCCCAGAGCUGCCGGGCUUUUAGGACACACUCCUCCAAUUCCAUGCUGGUGUUUUUAAAAAAAUUCCAAACUGCAGAUGAUUUGGGCUUUCUACCUGAAGAUGAUGUACCACAUCUUCUGGGGCUAGGUUGGAACUGGGCAUCUUGGAGGCAGAGCCCACCCAGAGCUGCACUCAGACCUGCUGUAUCUUCCAGUGACCAGCAGAGCUUAAUCAGGAAGCUUCAGAAGAGAGGUAGUCCCAGUGACGUAGUUACACCUAUAGUGACACAGCAUUCUAAAGUGAAUGACUCCAACGAAUUAGGUGGUCUGACUACCAGUGGCUCUGCAGAGGUCCACAAGGCGAUUACAAUUUCCAGUCCCCUAACCACAGACCUGACUGCAGAGCUGUCUGGUGGGCCAAAGAAUGUAUCAGUGCAACCUGAAAUAUCAGAGGGUCUUGCUACUACGCCCAGCACUCAACAAGUAAAAAGUUCUGAGAAAACCCAGAUUGCUGUCCCCCAGCCAGUGGCUCCCUCCUACAGUUAUGCUACCCCUACCCCCCAGGCCUCUUUCCAGAGCACCUCAGCACCAUACCCAGUUAUAAAGGAACUGGUGGUAUCUGCUGGAGAGAGUGUC